GAAAUGCGAUAAGUAAUGUGAAUUGCAGAAUUCAGUGAAUCAUCGAAUCUUUGAACGCACCUUGCGCUCCUUGGUAUUCCUUGGAGCAUGCCUGUUUGAGUAUCAUGAAAUCUUCAAAGUAAAUCUUUUGUUAACUCAAUUGGUUUCUACUUUGGUAUUGGAGGUCUUUGCAGCUUCACACCUGCUCCUCUUUGUUCAUUAGCUGGAUCUCAGUGUUAUGCUUGGUUCCACUCGGCGUGAUAAGUUAUCUAUCGCUGAGGACACUGUAAAAGGUGGCCAAGGUAAAUGCAGAUGAACCGCUUCUAAUAGUCCAUUGACUUGGACAAUACUUUUAUGAUCUGAUCUCAAAUCAAGCAGGACCACCCGCUGAACUUAAGC
rnacentral:misc_RNA from 1 species